UAAAAGGUUCAUAAGCUUUAUUCAGAGAACGUUCUAAAGUCAACCAAAAUUUGAGCAGUCUUUAUAACCCCCCAUACACCCACACACCCACAUAGUAUGUAUCUUUUUCCACAGUCACAUUCCUUGUUUAUCACUGUUCUACCCGCCUGGCAGUUUCUCGCCGUUACCUUCCUCCCCAGAUUAGCUGGGCCUUGACAAGGCCUCUUUCCUGUCGUAAGUUUUUCAGAGUUCCAACCAGGUCAGGGCAUGUAUAGUUCAAUUGUCCUCUGUGUUUUCUGAGUCACACAUUUCUCACCUUUAACUUGUCUCAACCAAACCUUAUUGGAUUAUAGUCUAAUUAUUCUAAUACAUUUUACAUAGUCUAAUAAUUCAGUUUCAGGGUGGAAUUCUUUAGUCAUUACUUUAAACAUAUAAAUUCCCUUAUCAGAAACCAAUAAAGUGUUGACUUCAACUUCUGGAUUAAUUUAUUGUGAUAUUCAUAAAAAUGUAUUUGGAAGUAACUAGCGCCAAUCUUCCUGAAACAAAAUAGUUGGUGUAUCAUUUCAACUUUCAUUUGUUGGCAAUAAAACAGUAGAUCUGUAUGUCAAUGUAGCAAAUAAGUAGACAUGGCUUGUAUUCAAGACAAAGUGUAUUUGCUCAGGACACCGAGGUGAGUUUACACAGCAGUAUGCAGGAACAGAUAUAGCAAUGUAUGACAUAUAUACAGUAGGAAAACAAUAUACUACUAAUGCUUAUAAAUACUACAGUUCUACAAAGGGAAUACUUGCAUAUGGUGUGUUUGGCUGUUGCAGUGAGGUAUUCGGAGUCACUUUAAUACAAGGGGAGAUUGUUGUUAUGGCAAGGGGAUUCGGUGUCCUGUGCCUAGUUUUCUCCCCACGGAGAACAAACUCCCAAAAUAAUCUGUAGGCCACCAAGCGGUAUGGUCUGUAAGAGAAUUACAAAAUACUAUUAGACUUAAUCGUUGUGUACGGUCUCCAUUCCUACUGUAGCAGCACGAUGCAGAAUAUUACACAUCACAGACACACAUUAGCUAGCUACAACACAUAGGUAUAGUUACUCCAAGGCUAAUAUGAGACAUUUCCCAGAUACACAUUAGCUAGCUAGCUACCAACACACAGGUAUAGUUACUCCAAGGCUAAUAUGAGACAUUUCCCAGAUACACAUUAGCUAGCUAGCUACAACACACAGGUAUAGUUACUCCAAAGCUAAUAUGACACAUUUCACAGACACACAUUAGCUAGCUAGCUACAACACACAGCUAUAGUUACUCCAAGGCUAAUAUGAGACAUUUCCCAGAUACACAUUAGCUAGCUAGCUACAACACACAGGUAUAGUUACUCCAAGGCUAAUGUGAGACAUCUCACAGACACACAUUAGCUAGCUAGCUACAACACACAGGUAGAGUUACUCAAAGACUAGUAUGAGUUAUAAAGUCAAAGUCAUUCCUUUACUCUUCGGCAUCAUCAUCAAAAUAUUUAUCCUGUUUUGCUCCUAGUCCUAUUUAGAUGCACUGAGGCUAGUUAGCUAACAUUAGCUAGCUAUAACAUUAGGCUACAGUACAUGUUGGGUAUAGCAAACACAGCUAGCUAGCUCAACUUGACGAGCUUGGCUUGUAGUGGUACUAGCAAGUCCUGUUAUGGCCAAAAAGAUCAAGAAAUUAUACAGUGCUGAACAACAUUGCCUCGUGUGAAAAGAGAGCUUAGCUAUAUUGCUAGCUAGCUACUAACAGCAAAACAAAUUAUUAGUUCGACAUUUGCUUUCCUGAUCCAGCUGGUUUAGGCUGCCGUCGUCAGUUGAUCUUUUAGGUUCUAAAGAAUGUCUCCAGCACACUUCUAUCCAACCUAUCUAUAUGUGCAUCGAAACUUUGAUGGUCUCUAUACACACACAUAUUCCAUGGGGUCUGCAGUGACCCUCUCCAGUAAGAAUUGUCCGCGAUCUAAUUCGUUUCAGCACAGGCAUUCCUCUUCUGUCGGCAUGGCUGGACAGCACCUGCAUAGGGCUCCACCAGUCAGUCUGACCGUAGUUCCCCAUCGCUGCUUGGUAAUCUCGCAACUCUUGUUCUCGUCUCAACUCCUCUUCAGUUUAUUCCAGCUCAAAUGAAUAGGCCAGAAUGCCCCAUAUGUUAGUAUGUAAAAGAACAUAAACAGUUUUGUCGUUCAGCUCUUCUUGGGAAGAGGACUCAUCAGAAGCAGCCAUUGUAGUUAUUUAGCUAGUCGUCUCAGAUAGACAGUGACAUAGCUCCAAUGAACCUGUAGAAACUAGUACCGUCCCCAUUUUGAAAUGCCUUAAUAUGAG
rnacentral:lncRNA from 1 species